rnacentral:ncRNA from 1 species
CACAAGGUGUCCCUAACAUGACGGGGGAGAAUGGGUAAGCGAAGCUCGAGCCCAUAGUAAUGCAUAAGCCACCCCAGGAGAUCUUUGCCCGAUAUAGGGAACUUGGUCCUGGGUCAUAUUACCGGUGAUUCACUCUUGGCCUUAAUUGGCCAGGUCGUUCCUCCGGCGCUGUUACUUUGAAGAAAUUUGAGUGCUCAAAGCAGGCCUACGCUUGUAUUCAUUAGCAUGGGAUAACAUCAUAGGAUUUCGAUCCUAUUGUGUUGGCCUUCGGGAUCGGAGUAAUGAUUAACAGAAACAGUCGGGGGCAUUUAUAUUUCAUAGUCAGAGGUGAAAUUCUUGGAUUUAUGAAAGAUGAACAACUGCGAAAGCAUUUGCCAAGGAUAUUUUCAUUAAUCAAGAAUGAAAGUUGGGGGCUCGAAGGCAAUCAAAUACCAUCCUAGUCUCAACCAUAAACGAUGCCGACCAGGGAUCAGCGAAUGUUGCUUUUAGGACUCCGCCGACACCUUAGGAGAAAUCAAAGUCUUUGGGUUCCGGGGGGAGCAUGGUCACAAGGCUGAAACUUAAAGGAAUUGACGGAAAGGCACCACUAGGAGUGUAGCCUGUUGCUUAAUUUGACUUAACAUGGGGAAACUUACCAGGUCCAGACAUAGUAAGGAUUGAUAGACUGAGAGCUCUUUAUUGAUUCUAUGGGUGGUGAUGCAUUGCCGUUCUUAGUUAGUGGAGCGAUUUGUCUGGUUAAUUCCGUUAACGAACGAGAUCUCAGCCUGCUAACUAGCUACACAGAGAUGAUCCUCUGUGGCUAGAUUUUUAGAGGGACUAUGGCCUUUUAGGCCACGAAAGUUUGACGCAAUAACAGGUCUGUGAUGCCCUUAGAUGUUCUGGGCCGCACGCACGCUACACUAUUGUAUUCAAAGAGUCUAUAGCCUUGGCCAACAGGCCCGGGUAAUCUUUAAAAUUUCAUGGUGAUAGGGAUAGAUCAUUGCAAUUUUUGGUCUUCAACGAGGAACUCCUAGUAAGUGCGAUUCAUCAGCUACGUUGACUGCACCCUUGUCCUUUGUACACACCACCCGUCGCUCCUACCAAUUUAACGGUCCUGUGAAGUGUUCGGAUCGCGAUGAUGUGGGAGAUUCGCUGCCUGCAACGUAGCAAGAAGUCCACUGAACCUUAUCAUUUAGAGGAAUGAGAAGUCGUAACAAGGUUUUCGUAGGUGAACCAAAAUCAA